rnacentral:rRNA from 1 species
AGAAUCAACGCUGGCGGCGUGCCUAACACAUGCAAGUCGCACGAGAAAGGGGAGCAAUCCCUGAGUACAGUGGCGCACGGGUGAGUAACACGUGAAUUAUCUACCUCCGAGUGGGGAAUAACUGAGAGAAAUCUUAGCUAAUACCGCAUAACACUUACGAGUCAAAGCAGCAAUGCGCUUGGAGGGGAGUUCGCGGCCGAUUAGUUAGUUGGCGGGGUAAUGGCCCACCAAGACGAUGAUCGGUA